AUGCAGUCGACGCGAACGUCCUCUUCGGAGGGCUAGUAGAGUGGCGGACGGGCGAGUAACACUUGGGAAUCUGCCCAACAGUGGGGAAUAACCCGGGGAAACUCGGGCUAACACCGCAUACGUUCCACGGAAGAAAGGGGGCCUCUUCUUGAAAGCUCCCGCUGAUGGAUGAGCCCAAGUCGGAUUAGCUAGUUCGCGAGGUAACGGCUCACGAAGGCAACGAUCCGUAGCUGGUCUGAGAGGAUGAUCAGCCACACUGGGACUGAGACACGGCCCAGACUCCUACGGGAGGCAGCAGUGGGGAAUAUUGGACAAUGGGCGAAAGCCUGAUCCAGCAAUGCCGCGUGUGUGAAGAAGGCCUGCGGGUUGUAAAGCACUUUCAGCAGGGAAGAAACGCCGGGGACUAAUACUCCCGCGGUACUGACGUUACCUGCACAAGAAGCACCGGCUAACUCCGUGCCAGCAGCCGCGGUAAUACGGAGGGUGCGAGCGUUAAGUCGGAAUUACUGGGCGUAAAGCGCGCGCAGGCGGUUCGGUAAGUCAGAUGUGAAAUCCCCGGGCUUAACCUGGGAAUUGCAUUUGAUACUGCCGAACUAGAGUAUGGGGGGAGGGAAGUGGAAUCUCCGGUGUAGCGGUGAAAUGCGUAGAGAUCGGAGGGAACACCAGUGGCGAACGCGGCUUCUGGGCCCAUACUGACGCUCAGGCGCGAAAGCGU
rnacentral:rRNA from 1 species